rnacentral:rRNA from 1 species
UACGUAGGGGGCUAGCGUUAUCCGGAAUUACUGGGCGUAAAGAGCGCGCAGGUGGUUGAUUAAGUCUGAUGUGAAAGCCCACGGCUUAACCGUGGAGGGUCAUUGGAAACUGGUCGACUUGAGUGCAGAAGAGGGAAGUGGAAUUCCAUGUGUAGCGGUGAAAUGCGUAGAGAUAUGGAGGAACACCAGUGGCGAAGGCGGCUUCCUGGUCUGUAACUGACACUGAGGCGCGAAAGCGUGGGGAGCAAACAGGAUUAGAUACCCCGGUA